rnacentral:lncRNA from 1 species
UCUUCAUUUUGCUUUCUUCGACUUUUUAUUUCACCCUUAUCUCUUUCUUUUUUUUAAUUCCUUCGCACGCCAUGGCAGCCGAACCUUUCCCCUCACGCCUUCUGCUUUCUUUGAUUCUUUUUCUUGGACCGAAGCAAACCCACGGAAGCUGCCCCAUGAUUCCUCUUCUUCUCUGCCAUGCCGCACUCACGCAUGCCUCAUCCCCACCGAAACUGAAUUUUCUUCCCUGUAGCUCACCCACGUAUUUCAUUUGGUCAGCAAAUCAGUAACUUCUUCUCGUGGUUGACUCCAGCAGCGACGGAAAGGAUUCCUC